rnacentral:snRNA from 1 species
GGAUGGGAGGGUGAUCUGGCUGCAACAUUCUGUCACCCCGUUAAUGGCCAAGUCACUUCACCUGGUGUGGCUGGCUGGGGGUGCCCCCUUCCUGCCUCAGCACUCCAUGCACCUGUGUACCUGCUGAAGCUCCGUGCUUGGUCUAAGAGGGCAGCCUUCCCCUCUAGAGGAGGACUGUUCUUCAGUAGAGGCUAUACAAAUGGCUGUGCUUCCCCGCUAGAACUUUUCAAAUAAGCCCUCAAGAUAUUCAGCAUUUUAAAAUCAGUGACAAGGCAAAAAAAAUAAAACCACCUUUUUAAGUGUUUCUUUUA